UGAAAGGCCAAUCAAACCGGGAGAUAGCUGGUUCUCCCCGAAAGCUAUUUAGGUAGCGCCUCGUGAAUUCAUCUCCGGGGGUAGAGCACUGUUUCGGCUAGGGGGCCAUCCCGGCUUACCAACCCGAUGCAAACUGCGAAUACCGGAGAAUGUUAUCACGGGAGACACACGGCGGGUGCUAACGUCCGUCGUGAAGAGGGAAACAACCCAGACCGCCAGCUAAGGUCCCAAAGUCAUGGUUAAGUGGGAAACGAUGUGGGAAGGCCCAGACAGCCAGGAUGUUGGCUUAGAAGCAGCCAUCAUUUAAAGAAAGCGUAAUAGCUCACUGGUCGAGUCGGCCUGCGCGGAAGAUG
rnacentral:rRNA from 1 species